GACGAACGCUGGCGGCGUGCUUAACGCAUGCAAGUCGAACGGAAAGGCCCUGCUUUUGUGGUGUGCUCGAGUGGCGAACGGGUGAGUAACACGUGAGUAACCUGCCCUUGACUUUGGGAUAACUUCAGGAAACUGGGGCUAAUACCGGAUAGGAGCUCCUGCUGCAUGGUGGGGGUUGGAAAGUUUCGGCGGUUGGGGAUGGACUCGCGGCUUAUCAGCUUGUUGGUGGGGUAGUGGCUUACCAAGGCUUUGACGGGUAGCCGGCCUGAGAGGGUGACCGGCCACAUUGGGACUGAGAUACGGCCCAGACUCCUACGGGAGGCAGCAGUGGGGAAUAUUGCACAAUGGGCGGAAGCCUGAUGCAGCAACGCCUCGUGCGGGAUGACGGCCUUCGGGUUGUAAACCGCUUUCGCCUGUGACGAAGCGUGAGUGACGGUAAUGGGUAAAGAAGCACCGGCUAACUACGUG
rnacentral:rRNA from 1 species